UACGAAGGGGGCUAGCGCUGCUCGGAAUCACUGGGCGUAAAGGGUGCGUAGGCGGGUCUUUAAGUCAGGGGUGAAAUCCUGGAGCUCAACUCCAGAACUGCCUUUGAUACUGGCGAUCUCGAGUCCGGGAGAGGUGAGUGGAACUGCGAGUGUAGAGGUGAAAUUCGUAGAUAUUCGCAAGAACACCAGUGGCGAAGGCGGCUCACUGGCCCGGUACUGACGCUGAGGUGCGAAAGCGUGGGGAGCAAACAGG
rnacentral:rRNA from 1 species